rnacentral:misc_RNA from 1 species
UCAAACUUGGUCAUUUAGAGGAAGUAAAAGUCGUAACAAGGUUUCCGUAGGUGAACCUGCGGAAGGAUCAUUAAUGGGUUUUUGCUUGUGAAGGGCUGUAGCUGGCCAUUAUCUAUAUAUUGGCAUGUGCACGCCUGGAUCGUUACACAAUCCACCUCUCUCACACACCUGUGCACAACUGUAGCUUAUGGGUGGGGAUUGCAGGACACAAAUUGUGGACUGCAUGAACUGCCUGUUUGCUAUGCAUUUCUUUUUCUACUACACUCUGUGUAAUAAAAGGUUCAAUGUGGAAUGUAAUCUAAUAAAAAACAACUUUCAGCAACGGAUCUCUUGGCUCUCGCAUCGAUGAAGAACGCAGC